rnacentral:rRNA from 1 species
GACGAACGCUGGCGGCGUGCUUAACACAUGCAAGUCGAACGAUGAUGCCCAGCUUGCUGGGUGGAUUAGUGGCGAACGGGUGAGUAACACGUGAGUAACCUGCCCCUGACUCUGGGAUAAGCGUUGGAAACGACGUCUAAUACUGGAUAUGACUGCCGGCCGCAUGGUCUGGUGGUGGAAAGAUUUUUUGGUUGGGGAUGGACUCGCGGCCUAUCAGCUUGUUGGUGAGGUAAUGGCUCACCAAGGCGACGACGGGUAGCCGGCCUGAGAGGGUGACCGGCCACACUGGGACUGAGACACGGCCCAGACUCCUACGGGAGGCAGCAGUGGGGAAUAUUGCACAAUGGGCGAAAGCCUGAUGCAGCAACGCCGCGUGAGGGAUGACGGCCUUCGGGUUGUAAACCUCUUUUAGUAGGGAAGAAGCGAAAGUGACGGUACCUGCAGAAAAAGCACCGGCUAACUACGUGCCAGCCGCCGCCGUAA